AGACUAACUUGUUAACUUGCAAAUGGGGCAAGGUUUCAGACCCCACACAGUUCUUGACAAUGUAAUCUAAAUCUGUUUUCCUCUAAAACCUGUGCAUUUAAGAGAUGGAAAUGAUCUUUCUUCGGGUGCUAAUGCUACCGGCCUGCGUGACCCUUCAUUUGUGACCAUUCCUCUUUGAGACCAGAAUUUUCAAAAGACUGAUUAUAAUCACAGUCUCAUUCUCAAUAUUUGCAAAAGGCCUUUCCUAACACAAUUCUUUAAAACCAGCUAAGUUACCAGGUUACUGAGAGGUUAAGAAUUGCCAAAAAAGACCUGUGCCUUCCCUCUGAUAUUCCCUGGGUUUAGUUCUUCUCUCCUCCUUCUGCCAAGAGACCACUGAGAAGUGCCUCCGAAGAGCUAAGGGCUGCCCCAGGUGGUUAUGUGGGAGCGUGAGUGCCAGACAGAGGCCUGUUCUGAUGUCCUGACAUGCUACAAUUAUGCAGAUUUACACAGCAAGCAUAAGACCUUCUCCGCAUGUAUGGCUUCCCCAUUCCCAAGCAGACCAUGAACUUCCUAAGGAAAGUGACCGAAUUCCGCACUUCUCAACCCUCGCGGAGGGGCAGGGAGAUGGAUGAAGAAAUAAAGAGAGGGUGAAAUCAUUCUGGGAAGUUUCCUUGAAAGGGCCCAAAUCUGCCUCUUUCUGGGGCCCAGCGAGGACCCUGGAAGACAGAGAUCCUAGAAAAAGCAGAGGGAAAAGAAGAGGAAGAGAACAUGGAGAAACCGCCAGGGAACAGAACUCUUGGUCCAGGAGGCGCAAACCACAAGUGCAAUUAGUCAAAAAAAAACCCUGAAAUUAAAAAAUGAUUCCAAGCUGAGGAGGGGAGUACAUAAGUUACUGCAGCCCCAAGACAUUUAUGAAUAAUACAAAUGCUGUGAGGUGCUGAGCCUGAGCACAGUUAAUUAAUAUGUACAGGAGCAGAGAUGCACUUGAAAAACAAUAGUGCUGUUUCCCCCUCGCCAGAAGUAAAAAUAUUUCCAGAAAG
rnacentral:lncRNA from 1 species